UAAAGUGGUAUCAACAUUUCCUUUCCCGCAUAAAUGAAUAACAUUAAAUUCGUUUAAUAGUUCGGGUAAAUUAUUUCGCAAGGCAUCAUUUAAAACAACAGAACCUAAACUUCCUCCCAUAACAAGAAGUAUUUUCUUAUCUUCUUCAAAUCCAC
rnacentral:ncRNA from 1 species